GCUGGUCCUCCAGUGUGGUACAGCAGUUUGGACUAUGAUUCUAGAGACCAGGGUUCAAAUCCCUGCUGGAACA